rnacentral:misc_RNA from 1 species
UUUCCGUAGGUGAACCUGCGGAAGGAUCAUUAAAAAAUUGGACUCCAUUGGUGAGUUCAUUAAUAAUCCUACCCUUUGUGAAUUUGUUUGUUUGAAUAAUUUUUUUUCCAAAAAAAAUUAUUGAAUGUCUUUCCCUGUUUUGGUGGAGCUUGUAAAGUGAAACCAGGCAGGGGAAUGGCAAACAAUAAUUAUUUUUGAAAAAGACCUUUUUUAAAAUUAAACUUUUUGUAUUCAUUUGUCUAAAAUUAUUUUUAUAAUAUAAAAACAACUUUUGACAAUGGAUCUCUUGGUUCUCGCAACGAUGAAGAACGCAGCAAAAUGCGAUAAGUAGUGUGAAUUGCAGAAUACGUGAAUCAUCGAAUCUUCGAACGCAUAUUGCACUUUUUUAGUUUACUAAAAAAGUAUGUCUGUUUGAGUAUCAGUAAAAUAUUCUCAUAAAAAAUUUAUUUUUUAUGGUUAUGAGUGUUUUACAACGAUAACAAGUUGUUUCACUUUAAAUUCUUUGUUAUCAAAAAAAUCAUUAAAAGCUAAUUUUAAAGAUUUUUUAAAAUUGGAUAAAAUUUUCCCGUAAAAAGGAAUAACCUAAACAAUUUUAAAAAAUUAAAAUUGGUUUGAUUUUUCUUGAUUUAAAAAGGAAAAAAAAGUAAAAGUUAACUUGAUCUCAAAUCAGAUAAGAGUACCCGCUGAACUUAAGCAUAUCAAUAAGCGGAGGAAAAGAAACUAACUAGGAUUCCCUCAGUAACGGCGAGUGAAGCGGGAAGAGCUCAAAUUUGAAAUCUUCAAGGUUUUACCUUGACGAAUUGUAGUUUAAAGAAGUGUUUUCUGUUGGAGUUUUGGUAAAAGUUCUUUGGAAAAGGACAUCAUAGAGGGUGAGAAUCCCGUAUUUGACCAUUAUCUCCAGCUUUGUGAUACACUUUCAAAGAGUCGGAUUGUUUGGGAAUGCAGUCCAAAAUGGGUGGUAAAUUUCAUCUAAAGCUAAAUACUGGCGAGAGACCGAUAGCGAACAAGUACCGUGAGGGAAAGAUGAAAAGAACUUUGAAAAGAGAGUUAAACAGUACGUGAAAUUGUCAAAAGGGAAGCGUUUGACACCAGUGUUGUUUUCUCGAAAAUCAAUUAAAAAAGGCCGGAUUUUGUGUUGUAUUGACUUUAUCAGCUUUCUGCACUUUUUCUUGUCUUUUUUAAUGCACUUUUCGUUUAACAAGUCAACAUCAAUUUCUUUUGUUGUAGAAGGGUCAUUGGAAGGUGGCUUUCUUUUCGGAGAAAGUGUUUAUAGCCUUUGGCCUCUGCAAUCGGAGAGAUUGAGGUCUGCAGCGUAGAUCCUUCGGGGUUAGAUACAUUUGUGCUAAGUUAUAGCCUUUCAUAGACAACUUGUUGACUAUGAUCAGUCAUGUAGCUUACUCGCUUAUGCUAUUU